GUAGCCUAGUGGUUAGAGCGUAGAGGUGGCAGGUAGCCUAGUGGUUAGAGCGUAGAGGUGGCAGGGAGCCUAGUGGUUAGAGUGUUGGACCAGUAACCAGCAGGUAGCCUAGUGGUUAGAGCGUUGGGACAGUAACCAGCAGGUAGCCUAGUGGUUAGAGCGUUGGGACAGUAACCAGCAGGUAGCCUAGUGGUUAGAGCGUUGGGACAGUAACCAGCAGGUAGCCUAGUGGUUAGAGCGUUGGACUAGUAACCAGCAGGUAGCCUAGUGGUUAGAGCAUUGGACUAGUAACCGAAAGGUUGCAAGAUCGAAUCCCCGAGCUGACAAGGUAAAAAUCUGUCGUUCUGCCCCUGAACAAGGCAGUUAACCCACUGUUCCUAGGCUGUCAUUGUAAAUAAGAAUUUGUUCUUAACUGAAUUGCCUGGUUAAAUGAAAAUUAACCACAAACAAUUAAUGAACAUGCACCUGUGGAACGGUCGC
ensembl:lncRNA